AGAGUUUGAUCCUGGCUCAGAGCGAACGCUGGCGGCAGGCUUAACACAUGCAAGUCGAGCGGGCAUCUUCGGAUGUCAGCGGCAGACGGGUGAGUAACACGUGGGAACGUACCCUUCGGUUCGGAAUAACGCUGGGAAACUAGCGCUAAUACCGGAUACGCCCUUUUGGGGAAAGGUUUACUGCCGAAGGAUCGGCCCGCGUCUGAUUAGCUAGUUGGUGGGGUAACGGCCUACCAAGGCGACGAUCAGUAGCUGGUCUGAGAGGAUGAUCAGCCACACUGGGACUGAGACACGGCCCAGACUCCUACGGGAGGCAGCAGUGGGGAAUAUUGGACAAUGGGCGCAAGCCUGAUCCAGCCAUGCCGCGUGAGUGAUGAAGGCCUUAGGGUUGUAAAGCUCUUUUGUCCGGGACGAUAAUGACGGUACCGGAAGAAUAAGCCCCGGCUAACUUCGUGCCAGCAGCCGCGGUAAUACGAAGGGGGCUAGCGUUGCUCGGAAUCACUGGGCGUAAAGGGCGCGUAGGCGGCCAUUCAAGUCGGGGGUGAAAGCCUGUGGCUCAACCACAGAAUUGCCUUCGACACUGUUUGGCUUGAGUAUGGUAGAGGUUGGUGGAACUGCGAGUGUAGAGGUGAAAUUCGUAGAUAUUCGCAAGAACACCGGUGGCGAAGGCGGCCAACUGGACCAUUACUGACGCUGAGGCGCGAAAGCGUGGGGAGCAAACAGGAUUAGAUACCCUAGUAGUCC
rnacentral:rRNA from 1 species